UGGGGGAUAACCUGGGGAAACCCAGGCUAAUACCGCAUACGUCCUACGGGAGAAAGGGGGCUCCGGCUCCCGCUAUGGGAUGAGCCUAUGUCGGAUUAGCUAGUUGGUGAGGUAACGGCUCACCAAGGCCACGAUCCGUAGCUGGUCUGAGAGGAUGAUCAGCCACAUCGGGACUGAGACACGGCCCGAACUCCUACGGGAGGCAGCAGUGGGGAAUAUUGGACAAUGGGGGCAACCCUGAUCCAGCCAUGCCGCGUGUGUGAAGAAGGCCCUCGGGUUGUAAAGCACUUUCAGCGAGGAAGAACGCCUAGCGGUUAAUACCCGCUAGGAAAGACAUCACUCGCAGAAGAAGCACCGGCUAACUCCGUGCCAGCAGCCGCGGUAAUACGGAGGGUGCAAGCGUUAAUCGGAAUUACUGGGCGUAAAGCGCGCGUAGGUGGCUUGAUAAGCCGGUUGUGAAAGCCCCGGGCUCAACCUGGGAACGGCAUCCGGAACUGUCAAGCUAGAGUGCAGGAGAGGAAGGUAGAAUUCCCGGUGUAGCGGUGAAAUGCGUAGAGAUCGGGAGGAAUACCAGUGGCG
rnacentral:rRNA from 1 species